UACGUAGGGACCAAGCGUUGUUCGGAUUUACUGGGCGUAAAGGGCGCGUAGGCGGCAUGACAAGUCACUUGUGAAAUCUCCGGGCUUAACUCGAAACGGUCAAGUGAUACUGUCGCGCUAGAGUGCGGAAGGGGCAAUCAGAAUUCUUGGUGUAGCGGUGAAAUGCGUAGAUAUCAAGAGGAAUACCUGAGGUGAAGACGGGUUGCUAGGCCGACACUGACGCUGAAGCGCGAAAGCCAGGGGAGCAAACGGG
rnacentral:rRNA from 1 species